rnacentral:rRNA from 1 species
GAUGAACGCUGGCGGCGUGCCUAAUACAUGCAAGUCGAGCGAACAGAUGAGGAGCUUGCUCCUCUGACGUUAGCGGCGGACGGGUGAGUAACACGUGGAUAACCUACCUAUAAGACUGGGAUAACUUCGGGAAACCGGAGCUAAUACCGGAUAAUAUAUUGAACCGCAUGGUUCAAUAGUGAAAGACGGUUUUGCUGUCACUUAUAGAUGGAUCCGCGCCGCAUUAGCUAGUUGGUAAGGUAACGGCUUACCAAGGCAACGAUGCGUAGCCGACCUGAGAGGGUGAUCGGCCACACUGGAACUGAGACGCGGUCCAGACUCCGACGGGAGGCAGCAGUAGGGAAUCUUCCGCAAUGGGCGAAAGCCUGACGGAGCAACGCCGCGUGGGUGAUGAAGGUCUUCGGAUCGUAAAACUCUGUUAUUAGGGAAGAACAAAUGUGUAAGUAACUAUGCACGUCUUGACGGUACCUAAUCAGAAAGCCACGGCUAACUACGUG